rnacentral:tRNA from 1 species
UGGGAUUAGCCAAGGGGUCAAGGCUCCGGCCUUUGACACCGGCACCACUGGUUCGAAUCCAGCUAUCCCAGCCA